rnacentral:rRNA from 1 species
GAUGAACGCUGGCGGCGUGCCUAAUACAUGCAAGUUGAGCGAACAGACGAGGAGCUUGCUCCUCUGACGUUAGCGGCGGACGGGUGAGUAACACGUGGAUAACCUACCUUUAAGACUGGGAUAACUUCGGGAAACCGGAGCUAAUACCGGAUAAUAUAUUGAACCGCAUGGUUCAAUAGUGAAAGACGGUUUUGCUGUCACUUAUAGAUGGAUCCGCGCCGCAUUAGCUAGUUGGUAAGGUAACGGCUUACCAAGGCAACGAUGCGUAGCCGACCUGAGAGGGUGAUCGGCCACACUGGAACUGAGACACGGUCCAGACUCCUACGGGAGGCAGCAGUAGGGAAUCUUCCGCAAAGGGCGAAAGCCUGACGGAGCAACGCCGCGUGAGUGAUGAAGGUCUUCGGAUCGUAAAACUCUGUUAUUAGGGAAGAACAAAUGUGUAAGUAACUAUGCACGUCUUGACGGUACCUAAUCAGAAAGCCACGGCUAACUACGUG